AAUGAUCGUUCAAAGAGGAGCACUAAUAGAAAGAAAAAUGAAGUGAUAUUUGCACCCAAGGAGAAAGAGACCACCUCCAACUUCGACUCCAAAAUGGCUAUAACAGUUGGUGAUAACUUAUCAAUGGGUUCUGCUCAUGUUCAGAAUAAUGGUGCUAGUACUUCUUAUGGCGAAAAGAUUCAAGAAUCCAACUCCAAACCUAACCCUUGGGUUUUAUAUGACAUUACAGCAUCAAUCCCAUAUAAUCUUGAGGAAAUAAUGAUCGAUGAAAGUUUGAGACAGUUGUAGUUUGUGUAUUCAGGGUAAUACCCUCAUGUCAGUUGUAACAUAUUUGUCGCUAUUAAAUAAAUCAUUUACAGGCAAGUUAGUAGAAAGUUACGAUCAAGGCCAUGAUGUUUUUUAAAGCUUGUGAGUAAAGUUGAAAUUCUGUGGAAAAAAAAAAAAAAUAUAUAUAUAUAUAUAUAUAUAUAUAUAUAUACA
rnacentral:lncRNA from 1 species